CUGAGCCUAUUGUGUUCUAUUGUGUAACAGAGAUAAGAACGGGAGGUAAGCUCACUCCACCGCUAGCUUGAAAUGUUGCCAAUGUUGGUGUGAUAGAAUUGGAGGCGUGCUGACCCUGGUUUAAGCCCAUUCAGAGGCUUGUUCAGGAAGGCAACGCUAAGGUAGCACCCUUUACAUAUGCUCAAUGAACUGUAGGUAGACACACUGACACCCUUUACAUGAACUAUAGGUAGACACACUGACACCCUUUACAUGAACUGGAGGUAGACACACUGACACCCUUUACAUGAACUGUAGGUAGACACACUGACACCCUUUACAUGAACUGGAGGUAGACACACUGACACCCUUUACAUGAACUAUAGGUAGACACACUGACACCCUUUACAUGAACUAUAGGUAGACACACUGACACCCUUUACAUGAACUAUAGGUAGACACACUGACACCCUUUACAUGAACUAUAGGUAGACACACUGACACCCUUUACAUGAACUAUAGGUAGACACACUGACACCCUUUACAUGAACUAUAGGUAGACACACUGACACCCUUUACAUGAACUAUAGGUAGACACACUGACACCCUUUACAUGAACUAUAGGUAGACACACUGACACCCUUUACAUGAACUAUAGGUAGACACACUGACACCCUUUACAUGAACUAUAGGUAGACACACUGACACCCUUUACAUGAACUAUAGGUAGAC